AUUGGUACAUUUUCCAUUCUGCUUUGCCAUUAGCAUUUUAAAUUAGUAUUUUUUACUGUCUAGCUUCAUCUCUCUUAUGUAUAUGCCAGUUUAUCCAGGUUGAGAGAAAAAUUAAUUUGGUUUAUGGUGGUGGAAGGAAGUGUAGGCUAAUGGGUCUAAUUUCUCAUACUGUUUUUAAUGGUGGAUGCCAUGCUCUUGGGUCUCACAAUUUGUCAUUCACGUAUAAGGCUUGCAUAUUAUGGAUAUAGUCGUCAAUUUCUGCAGGAUCAUUUAUGGAGAUAUUAGACAAUUCAUAUGUGAAAUGCAAGUUGGCUUUGGGAUCUACAGUAAACGUGCAUAACUGGGACCUACAGUAAAUGUGCCACUAUAAAGAAAACACCACAAUCCAUCUGAUGCUUCUAAGCAUACAUGAUUUAGAAAAGUAUAGCAAUGGCUCACAUGCUCUACUUGUUGGCGGUUUCUUCUAGUUAAUCACUAUCUUUGGAGUGUUCAAAUUUGAGAAACAAUCUAUUUAGCUAAGUGUAUAGAAACCAACACAUGUACAUUGAUGCAUUUGGCAUCCAAAGUCCCCCUAUCUAGCUAAUUAGUAUUUGCUUCACUUUUGAGUUUCAUCCAAAUAUUUUCUUUAUGAAGGACCAUAGAAUGGAAGAUUGUUGUGGCAUGAAUUGAAGAAAGGCGAUUUCUAUCAUCUAAUGGGAACUCCAAAGUCCUUUCACUUAUCAUCUAAGUCUUGUCAUCCAACAAUAUGUACGGUUCAUCAUGUGCUUUCUCACUUUUAGCUUCCUUUCUCCUUUAAAUAUGUGAACUCUAGUGUAGCCAAUAAAUCAAACCUUUGGAAUUUGUACU